ACUUCACCUAGGUAAUGCCCAGGAAUGUACUUAAAGGAUGACUGCACAAUAAAGUAGUAAAUGGCUCCAAUUAUUCCCAAAUAUAUGACCUGGAGAGUAGGAUUAGGACGAUCACAACAAUAGUACUCAACACAGAAGAGUGCAUUGGAACCUUUUUGACCAAACAUAGCACCCACAAAGCGGCGGAAAUAAUCACAGGCACCAAAAGUGAGAAAAAAAUGGAUUUUUUGAAUGAAAGUGCCUUCGAAAAUAGGCCAUUGGCCGCAGAGGAAAGAAAUCAACACUAGCAGUGUCACCAGGCCAUGGAUUACAAGAAGCCAUUCCACCUCCAUCUCAAUUGAGCCUCAAA
rnacentral:misc_RNA from 1 species